rnacentral:tRNA from 1 species
UAGUUCAGUUGGUAAAGAAUCUGCCUGCAGUGCAGGAGACCCAGGUUCGAUUCCUGG